AGCUAAAGCAUUGCACCUGUUGCUGCAGGGCUGCAGUUUCCUUCCAGAAGCCAAGCAAGUUACAUGGUGGAUCUGUUUGCCAAAGCAGUUCUGUUGGACCAGUGCCUCAGAAGUGGAAUAUCCAGCCUGAUGAAGCUUCUUGUCCCAUCAUCCAUGAUAAUAGUCAUCCUCUUAUGUGCAUGAUGCUAUUUGAUAUGAAGACACCCAAGUAUCUGGAGAAUUUGUCUGCAGAUGGAGUUCAGUGAUUUGAUUUAUCAUAGUGAUUGGGCAGAAUGCAUAGAAUUUGUCAGUAUUGUAAAAUUUGUGUGCCACAUAGGUUUUAUGCACUUGCAAGCUCUUCAUCACAUAAAUAACACUUUUCCAUUCUGUUGAUUUUCAUAAUUGAUUGAACGGUGAAGGGAUAAUCUAGACAGCAUUAAAAUCUUUGAGAGUGGAAAAGGCUUCAUUGAAACCUGCCUUGAUUUAUAAUAGCAUUUAAGACUUAACCAAGGACUGAAAUGGUUAUCCAUGAAGAAAAUACGUUGUACAGCAAGCUCAUUUUGGUUGAGGUGUAUGUGAGGAAUUUCACAUCAAACAGAGGACAGUGAAACUCACUCAAUAUUCAUAAUUGCUGUAAUGACCUUGCUUGUUCUGGGGUUUAGUUUUAUUCACAGAGUUUAAAUUGAAUGUGUUCCCAUGCCUUUGUAUAAUAACUAUUUUGUCCUAUCUAUAAGUACUUAAUGAGAACACUGCAGAGUCUUGAUGUUAAAGAUCACAUUAACAAUUUGUCAUGGCAAUGCUGAAAUUUUGUGUUUCAGGAUGUGUAAUUCACUGGCAUUCUGUACUGCUCCCUCUUAUUCGUAAAACUGUCUCAAAAAAAAAAAAAAAAAAAAAAAAAGACAGUACUGGCAACAAGACCUACACUUUGAGUUUAGUGGCUUCUCCUGCCUAAAGUUACAAGUCCUCAUUUUCCAAAUUGUUUUGUUGCUUUCAAGUAGGAAAGAGAGCUGAAAGAAAAAAAUGUGAGAGAGGACUUAAUUAAUAUGGGGAAGCAGAAUAAAGAGUUACUUUAUUUCCAGUAAUGCUGCAUGCUCUGCCUCUUAAACUAUGUGCAUCCCUCUUAUGGUACUGAUUGUCCUUGCAAAGGAUAGCUUCUUUGUUCUAUCCACUAAUCUCAAGGACAAAGCAUGAAGUCACUGGUGCCUCCUCUCUGCUACUCUAGCAUGAGAAAGGGAUUCAUCUGUGGAAGCUGCAGCAGAUGUUGGAGCUGUCUCUUCCCCUUCUGAGUGAAAAAAACAGAUUUGGGACAGCAAUAUUCUGGAGGAUAGUAGGCUGGAUUGCUAAAGCUCCCUCAAAAGUGAAUGGAAUUGGCCUAUGAGUGAGUGCACCCAGCACACCAAAAGGAAAGUAAAAAUACAAAUCAGUUUUUCCUAGAACUGUAGUGCUCUCUGAAUCCUCCCUGAGUCAUGAAAGUUGCUAUCUUAGAACCAAGUAUUUACUCAGAGAUGUUCUGUGCAAAUAUAAUCAAUGGGACUAACAUCAAAUGAAAAAACAUUGAGAAGCUGAUGGAAAAGAUGUGACAAAUAUAAGGAAGUGUGCAAGUUUUAGCUAGUGCACAGUAGUGUUUCAUUUGUAGCUGUUCAUAUCUGUACAGAUGGUAACAGUUUCUUAUUAUUUCUUUCUUAGCAACUGGGGGCCUUUCAUCUUCCUCCUGCAGAGUGAACCAUUCUUUUCUAACUCUGGAUGUGUGUGGUUUAAUAACUUCUGCUUCACUUGGACAGUAGAAUGGCAUCUGAUGCGUUUUCUAAAGCAUCCUCUUUGCAAAGCUUUUAAAACCUAUUUUUAUAUUAGUUCUUUGAUGUAAGACUGUUUUCUUCCACCUAGCUCAUAGUACAUGAAAGGCAAAAAGAUGUAGGUGCAACAAUAAUUGCCAGCUGAGAACACUGGACUGGAAAUGACAAGUUCUUUCCAAUAAAAGAACACAAUGGGUUUUAUACAGAUUCAUUCUAAUCUCUUUUAAGAAACUUAUAUUAAAGAUUGUAUUUCUAUUUAAAAUUUUACAGUCAGAUGCUUUGAAAGAUCAUCAUCGUCAUCAUUCCCUUAUGACAAAUAAUU